GACGGAGCAACGCCGCGUGAACGAAGAAGGUCUUCGGAUUGUAAAGUUCUGUGAUUCGGGACGAAAGGGUUUGUGGUGAAUAAUCAUAGACAUUGACGGUACCGAAAAAGCAAGCCACGGCUAACUACGUGCCAGCAGCCGCGGUAAUACGUAGGUGGCAAGCGUUGUCCGGAAUUAUUGGGCGUAAAGCGCGCGCAGGCGGUUUCUUAAGUCCAUCUUAAAAGCGUGGGGCUCAACCCCAUGAGGGGAUGGAAACUGGGAAGCUGGAGUAUCGGAGAGGAAAGUGGAAUUCCUAGUGUAGCGGUGAAAUGCGUAGGAGAUUAGGAAGAACACCGGUGGCGAAGGCGACUUUCUAGACGAAAACUGACGCUGAGGCGCGAAAGCGUGGGGAGCAAACAGGAUUAGAUACCCUGGUAGUCCACGCCGUAAACGAUGGAUACUAGGUGUAGGAGGUAUCGACCCCUCCUGUGCCGGAGUUAACGCAAUAAGUAUCCCGCCUGGGAAGUACGAUCGCAAGAUUAAAACUCAAAGGAAUUGACGGGGGGCCCGCACAAGCGGUGGAGUAUGUGGUUUAAUUCGACGC
rnacentral:rRNA from 1 species